UAAACGUUCUCUUCAAGGGCUUCUCGCGCGCGCGUACCCUCUUUUCUGCGACUAACGCGUCAGUUUUAGCCAUUCUUAGACAUUUUAAACCCAUGCUUCCCUCGUUGGCCUGAUGGAGAACGCCUGUUGCAGUGCUGUACGGCGUCAGUCAUUUCAACACUAUCAACGUACAUUUUUAAACUCUCGUUGCGUUUUAUUUUUGCCUCCCUCAGCGACCUGCGGACGAGCUGUAAACGAUUGCCGAGGAACGUUUUAUGCAAGGCAGAUGGAGAUAUGAUGUACCAUCAGCACGCGCGCCCAAUCGUGUGUGUGUGUCCAAUAAUGCUUAGCCAUAUUAGUGGCCGUUUUAUUGUCAGCCUGAGGAGGCCAAGCGGUACUAGAGAAUCAAUAGGAAUUGAACAUGCUAUUGAACAAGGUAUUGUAUUAAACAGCAUCAUAUAAAAAUAAAAGAUUGGUUCCUGCAAU